rnacentral:tRNA from 1 species
GGACCAUUGGCGCAACGGUAGCGCGUCUGAUUCCAGUUCUUCACCUGGAGCCUCCAGAAGGUUAGCCGUUCGAAUCGGCUAUGGUUCA